rnacentral:rRNA from 1 species
UGCGUAGGCGGGUCUUUAAGUCAGGGGUGAAAUCCUGGAGCUCAACUCCAGAACUGCCUUUGAUACUGAAGAUCUUGAGUCCGGGAGAGGUGAGUGGAACUGCGAGUGUAGAGGUGAAAUUCGUAGAUAUUCGCAAGAACACCAGUGGCGAAGGCGGCUCACUGGCCCGGUACUGACGCUGAGGCACGAAAGCGUGGGGAGCAAACAG